UGCCCAGAUGGGAUUAGCUAGUUGGUGAGGUAACGGCUCACCAAGGCGACGAUCCCUAGCUGGUCUGAGAGGAUGACCAGCCACACUGGAACUGAGACACGGUCCAGACUCCUACGGGAGGCAGCAGUGGGGAAUAUUGCACAAUGGGCGCAAGCCUGAUGCAGCCAUGCCGCGUGUAUGAAGAAGGCCUUCGGGUUGUAAAGUACUUUCAGCGGGGAGGAAGGUGUUGUGGUUAAUAACCGCAGCAAUUGACGUUACCCGCAGAAGAAGCACCGGCUAACUCCGUGCCAGCAGCCGCGGUAAUACGGAGGGUGCAAGCGUUAAUCGGAAUUACUGGGCGUAAAGCGCACGCAGGCGGUCUGUCAAGUCGGAUGUGAAAUCCCCGGGCUCAACCUGGGAACUGCAUUCGAAACUGGCAGGCUUGAGUCUUGUAGAGGGGGGUAGAAUUCCAGGUGUAGCGGUGAAAUGCGUAGAGAUCUGGAGGAAUACCGGUGGCGAAGGCGGCCCCCUGGACAAAGACUGACGCUCAGGUGCGAAAGCGUGGGGAGCAAACAGGAUUAGAUACCCUGGUAGUCCACGCCGUAAACGAUGUCUACUUGGAGGUUGUGCCCUUGAGGCGUGGCUUCCGGAGCUAACGCGUUAAGUAGACCGCCUGGGGAGUACGGCCGCAAGGUUAAAACUCAAAUGAAUUGACGGGGGCCCGCACAAGCGGUGGAGCAUGUGGUUUAAUUCGAUGCAACGCGAAGAACCUUACCUGGUCUUGACAUCCACAGAACUUUCCAGAGAUGGAUUGGUGCCUUCGGGAACUGUGAGACAGGUGCUGCAUGGCUGUCGUCAGCUCGUGUUGUGAAAUGUUGGGUUAAGUCCCGCAACGAGCGCAACCCUUAUCCUUUGUUGCCAGCGGUUAGG
rnacentral:rRNA from 1 species